rfam:Bacillaceae bacterium MTCC 8252 Contig12, whole genome shotgun sequence.
AAGACCUUUAAAUACAGUCCCGUGAGGCUGAGAAGGUAGCGGAUUAUAGCACAAUUGGAGGAGUAGUGUAUUCUUCUACGCUGUGCACAGCUGUCCUCUCGUCUUGGUGGCGAGAGGAUUUUUUUAU